GCAUAUUUGAAAUAUGUAAAGAUCAUCAUCUUCAGUGGCUGCCAGAUUCAAGGUGGAAGCAAUGCCAAUAUGUCAGCAGCCAGCUGGAACCAUUUUUACUCCUGUGCGAAUCUCUUGUAUCAAAUAUACCACAAUGGAAUGCUUUUAAGAACAGCAAGGCUGUAUAUUCUCUAAUUAGCACACCAUUCUGUCCAGAAAAUGAUUUAUCAGAGGAAAGUAGGAAAUCACCAGGAGAAA
rnacentral:lncRNA from 1 species